UGUCAGAUUUGCUCUAAAUGCUUUGGUUUUUGAGUUAUAAGCCAAAAACUGCAUUUUACCCCUAUGUUCUAUUUUUAGCCAUGGCAGCCAUCUUGGUUGGUUGGCCGGGUCACCGGACACAAUUUUUAAACUAGAUACCCUAAUAAUGAUUUUGGCCAUGUUUGGUUAAAUUUGGCCCAGCAGUUUCAGAGGAGAAGAUUUUUGUAAAAGUUAACGACGCCGGACGCCGGACGCCGGACGACGCCGGACGCCGGACGCCAAGUGCUGAGAAAAGCUCACUUGGCCCUUCGGGCCAGGUGAGCUAAAAAUGG
rnacentral:lncRNA from 1 species